UGGGGAAUAUUGCACAAUGGGCGAAAGCCUGAUGCAGCGACGCCGCGUGAGCGAAGAAGGCCUUCGGGUCGUAAAGCUCUGUCCUAUGGGACGAUAAUGACGGUACCAUAGGAGGAAGCCCCGGCUAACUACGUGCCAGCAGCCGCGGUAAUACGUAGGGGGCAAGCGUUGUCCGGAAUGACUGGGCGUAAAGGGUACGUAGGCGGUUAUGUAAGUCAGGUGUGAAAGGCUAGGGCUCAACCCUAGUAAGCACUUGAAACUGCGUGACUUGAGUCGAGGAGAGGAAAGUGGAAUUCCUGGUGUAGCGGUGAAAUGCGUAGAUAUCAGGAGGAAUACCAGUGGCGAAGGCGACUUUCUGGCCUUGGACUGACGCUGAGGUACGAAAGCGUGGGGAGCAAACAGG
rnacentral:rRNA from 1 species